GGGCUGUCGCUGACCCUUUGAAAGGUCGUGCACGCUNCGUAGUGCUCUCAGCACAUCCAUCUCACCCCUAUGUGCACCACCGCGUGGGUCCCCCUUCUGGCUCGNUCCGAGGGGGGCUCGCGUUUUCACACAAACUUGACGCAGUGUAGAAUGUCUUUUUUCUUUUGCGAUCACACGCAAUCAAUACAACUUUCAACAACGGAUCUCUUGGCUCUCGCAUCGAUGAAGAACGCAGUCGAAAUGCGAUACGUAAUGUGAAUUGCAGAAUUCAGUGAAUCAUCGAAUCUUUGAACGCACCUUGCGCCCCUUGGCAUUCCGAGGGGCACACCCGNUCUGAGUGUCGUGAAAUUCUCAAAACGCCUUUCUUUUUGGUCUUUCGAUCGAAGAAAGGCUUUUGGACUUGUGAGGCUUUUUGCUGGUUUCACCUUGAAGCGAGCUCCUCCUAAAUGAAUCAGUGGGGUCCGCUUUGCUGAUCCUUGACGNGAUAAGAUGUUUCUACGUCUUGGGUUUUGGCACUGUCCCUUGGGCACCUGCUUCAAACCGUCUCAUUGACAACGAUGGUGUUCCGGUCACCGCCGCUUCGUCGGCGGGAGGCUUGACCCACAAAUGAACCUUGACCUCAAAUCGGGUGAGACUACCCGCUGAACUUAAGCAUAUCAAUA
rnacentral:rRNA from 1 species